UAAGGCUUUGUUUUGCUUAUGAUGGCAAC
rnacentral:sRNA from 1 species